UGGGGAAUAUUGCACAAUGGGCGCAAGCCUGAUGCAGCCAUGCCGCGUGUGUGAAGAAGGCCUUCGGGUUGUAAAGCACUUUCAGCGAGGAGGAAGGUGGUGAACUUAAUACGUUCAUCAAUUGACGUUACUCGCAGAAGAAGCACCGGCUAACUCCGUGCCAGCAGCCGCGGUAAUACGGAGGGUGCAAGCGUUAAUCGGAAUUACUGGGCGUAAAGCGCACGCAGGCGGUUUGUUAAGUCAGAUGUGAAAUCCCCGGGCUCAACCUGGGAACUGCAUUUGAAACUGGCAAGCUAGAGUCUCGUAGAGGGGGGUAGAAUUCCAGGUGUAGCGGUGAAAUGCGUAGAGAUCUGGAGGAAUACCGGUGGCGAAGGCGGCCCCCUGGACGAAGACUGACGCUCAGGUGCGAAAGGCGUGGGGGCAGCAAACAGGAUUAGAUACCCUGGUAGUCCACGCUGUAAACGAUGUCGAUUUUGGAGGUUGUGCCCUUGAGGCGUGGCUUCCGGAGCUAACGCGUUAAAUCGACCGCCUGGGGAGUACGGCCGCAAGGUUAAAACUUAAAUGAAUUGACGGGGUC
rnacentral:rRNA from 1 species